GUCUACGGCCAUACCACCCUGAAGACGCCCGAUCUUGUCUGAUCUCGAAGCUAAGCAGGGUCGGGCCUGGUUAGUACUUGGAUGGGAAACUUAAUUAUUUCUGAAGGUCAGAAGAUCUGGGCA
rnacentral:rRNA from 1 species